UACGUAGGGUCCGAGCGUUGUCCGGAAUUACUGGGCGUAAAGAGCUCGUAGGUGGUUUGUCGCGUUGUCCGUGAAAACUCACAGCUCAACUGUGGGCGUGCGGGCGGAUACGGGCAGACUGGAGUACUGCAGGGGAGACUGGAAUUCCUGGUGUAGCGGUGGAAUGCGCAGAUAUCAGGAGGAACACCGGUGGCGAAGGCGGGGUCUCUGGGCAGUAACUGACGCUGGAGGAGCGAAAGCGUGGGGAGCGAACAGG
rnacentral:rRNA from 1 species